UGCCCGGUCGCCAAGUGGUAAGGCACAUGGUUUUGGGCCAUGCAUUUCGGGGGUUCGAAUCCCUCCCGGGCAACAA
rnacentral:tRNA from 1 species